GAAAAAAAAUCCCUCUUUCUGUUGACAGACAGCUCAGUGCUCUGUCGCUGCGGCUCAGCUGGAGCAGGCAGGGACAGGGGAUGCUGAAGCGCAGCUCUCUCCUCCCUGUGACCACAUCAGGCAGCCUCAUCAGAACCUCCAAUCUAUGGGUCUGCAGGGCCACGGACAGCUUCAGCCCUCCCUCAAGGAUUUAGCAUCAUCUUCUAGCAGCCUGAGUUGACUUUCAGUCCAGAAUUUGCAGCCUUGCAGAGAUUUGGCUGGAUGUUGAACAUCUUCAUUCUAUUCGCUAUAGCUCAACAAGACUUUAAUUGACCAACAAACAAACAAACAUUGCUUCCUGCUGUCUCCUGGACUGCCGCCAGACUUCCUGAUGUCAACUGGUAAAUGACAAAACCGGCCCAGCAAUAAGGAAACGUGCAAAAAUAACCCAGCAAAGAUGCAACCCUGGCAAACAGCACAUCCUUCGGUCCUCCAGAAUGCCAGCAAAGAUGUUCUCUUCAGCAGAGGUCUCCGUAUGGGAAAUAUUAGAAGAGUUGUCAUUUAGUAAACUCUAUUAUUGAGCAUAAAAUAAGUAAAACAAAAUAAACUGUGUUUCAUCUGCCUUUCAAACCAACAUCUCUAGAAACAAUUCUGUGAAGAUUUUUUUGCAUUUAGAGAUUAUCAGUGAAUAGCUAAUUAACUUAAUCAUCUUAAACUUCCCCUUCUUAAACAAGAGCUCUUAUGGGCAACAUUUCCUCAAGAAAAUAAGGGAGGAAAGCCAAGAAAAACAAGAUGUUUCUUUUCUCAGAAUUUAAUUUCCAACAGUGAUACACAGUGAUACAGUGGAGGAUGACACACAGGCGAUAGAAGGAUUAUCAGCAAGUUGUGAAGCUAUGAAAACUACUCAGAUUCAAAAAUGAAUGUUAUCUGCAUUCAAAGCAAUUUGUAAGGGAAGCUAGGAAGCAGUGGGACAAUGUAUUCAGUAACUUAUGAAAGGAUUUCCAAAAGUAACCACUCAUUAUAUCUGCAUGCAUGAUGUGGGGAAAAAAUCCAUCCUGUGGCUAACAAGUGCUGUGGUAGAAAAUAACAGCUAUUCAAUUAGGGAGUAAUAGGAAAAAAACAGGAAUACAGUUCCUAGAGUAUCUGUGCUGGAAAGAGGGUUCUAACAACUGAAUAACAGGCCACCUGUUAGUUACUACACAAGUGAAUUAAGGAUGACCCCAGUGCUUCAAACAAACAAGCAAAAAAGCCUCAAACACAUACUAAUGCAUACAGACAAAAAGAAGAUCAAAUAUUUUCUUGUGAAAUGUCCAUUUUCAAAGACAGACUACCUCCAAAUGUUAAGAUCAUGCCAAAUGAGAUUUAUUUUUUAUUUUUUUUAAAUUACAUCUGCAAAGUAAGCUUAGUGUAAAGCUGAGGCACUGUAGUUAUGUGCAGGACUCCUCCUUCAGGACACCAGGAGAUGAAAUCAUGAAAUAACAAUAAAGGAUAACAAUAAAGGAUCCUGGAUCCUGAAGUUACUAUAUCACAGCCCUUUGGAAGAAACAGAGCCAUAUGCCAUAGGAAAAGCAGUGCCCAUUUUAUGAACAAGCACUGCUGAAAUACAAAUCACAUCACACAGAGUCUGAGUUAAUUAAGUCAGGCACCCACUGUUUGCCUAUAGUUUGCAAUAGCUAUUAAUUUGAAGGUCUGCUAUUGUACGAAGAAAAGUUAAUUAACAAAUGUAACACUUUGUGACACGAUGAAGACAUUUCUAAGGGGCAUCAUACAGUGACUUUUUCUGGAGAACAGUUUUCUAAGUAAAAUUUUGGAUCAUCAACAAUUUGACAUAUGCUUAAGUUAUUUUGAACUCAUAAUUUUGCCAUUUUCUAUGAAACUAUAUUUCCAGAUACGUUGCAAUCUGCUUUACUAUUGAAAAUACUGUUGUUUGUUUUUUUAUUGUUUCAAAGAAUUUGAUUGCACUUUAAUGAGCCUUUGGUUAAAGGAAGCAGCUUGCAAUUUAAUCAUAUUAAAUUUAUAGUUGAUAUUCAAUGGCAGUAAGAUCCUUACUUCUAAAAAGAAUCUAAACAUCUUAACUUAGUGGAGAACACAUAGGACCUAUCUGGAAAAUGUUUGUUCAAGUACAUUAGAAACUGCUUUACGACAGUACAAAUUCCUUAAUGUAGAUUUUCUUUCAGGAUGUUUUUAAAGUGGGACAUAUAUUCUGAUGUUCAGAAUACCCACAAAUGCACUGUCCAUAAAGGUGUUGCCACUUUCCAGUGAAGUAUGUUCUCUGUAUAGGUGGUUAUCUAUAAAGCCUUUCCCACAGUCUUCCUCCUAGGUCUACACUGUGCUGUAACGCCUGCUGUUUUGUUGUGAUUUUUGGUGGUUUUUUGGUGCUUUUGUUGUUGUUGGUUUUGGUUGUUGUUGUUUUUUGU